UACGUAGGGGGCAAGCGUUGUCCGGAAUUACUGGGCGUAAAGAGUGCGUAGGCGGUUCUCCAAGUCCGUUGUGAAAGCCCCGGGCUCAACCUGGGAAUGGCAGUGGAAACUAGGGGACUUGAAUCUGGCAGAGGGGGGUGGAAUUCCACGUGUAGCAGUGAAAUGCGUAGAGAUGUGGAGGAACACCGAUGGCGAAGGCAGCCCCCUGGGCUGAGAUUGACGCUCAGGCACGAAAGCGUGGGGAGCAAACAGG
rnacentral:rRNA from 1 species